rnacentral:tRNA from 1 species
CUCUGAAUUGUGGUUUCAGAAAUGUCUUAUGACCCUUGUUC